AGAGUUUGAUCCUGGCUCAGGACGAACGCUGGCGGCGUGCCUAACACAUGCAAGUCGAGCGAUGAAAUCCUUCGGGAUGGAUUAGCGGCGGACGGGUGAGUAACACGUGGGUAACCUGCCUCAAAGAGGGGAAUAGCCUUCCGAAAGGAAGAUUAAUACCGCAUAAUAUGUUUUGGUCGCAUGACCGAAACAUCAAAGGAGCAAUCCGCUUUGAGAUGGACCCGCGGCGCAUUAGCUAGUUGGUGAGGUGACGGCUCACCAAGGCGACGAUGCGUAGCCGACCUGAGAGGGUGAUCGGCCACAUUGGAACUGAGACACGGUCCAGACUCCUACGGGAGGCAGCAGUGGGGAAUAUUGCGCAAUGGGGGAAACCCUGACGCAGCAACGCCGCGUGAAUGAUGAAGGCCUUCGGGUUGUAAAGUUCUGUCUUCUGGGACGAUAAUGACGUACCAG
rnacentral:rRNA from 1 species